UUUCCUCAUCAGGGUGGCAGUGGAUCCGGAAUCUGUCCCAGGAACUACGGGCAGGAGGUGGGAAUACACCCUGGGUGGGAUGUCAGUAAUACAAACACAAAUACGCAAUCACUCCUAGGGUAAUUCACUUGUCAGAACUUCCCCUCUCAAGAAGCUGUCUCCGCCCUUUUCCUCUCAUUGGUCAGUUCCCUAAUGUGUGCACCUGGUCUCAGUUCAACCCUUGAUUCGAUUUUCUCUUCAUACCCGCCUGUCUCAUUGAGUUUACUCCUGCAUUAUCGAGUCUUAUUGUUCCUCCCCUGGUUGUUGUCUUGUGCCUGCAUUUUGACUGCCUGUGCUCUGACUUCUGUUUGAAACUAUGACUAUGAUUAUUGGUAAGUAGUGAUACAACGUCUAAGAUCUUCCCAGCAUUUUCACCACUGGUGAACCAGAACAGGGCCUGAGAACCAUCAUAUUAUCAUACCAUCAUCAGUUCAUUACCCACAAUGCAAAGCUGACACUUUUAUGACAGGUCAUUCCAAAUUCUGACCAGGCUGGGCUGUGUCUCAAAUCGGCAACCCACUCUACCACCUGAUCCACAGCCGCCCCGGUCCCCAGACUGGACUUAAUAAUGUGUUGUUCGAGUUCAGGUUCAAAUUAAAACUGAGCAUGAGAGCAAGACGACGGAAACCUCUCUCCUAGUGAAAGCAUUAGCUGAAGAAGCUAAGUGAGCAGGACAGGUCGAGAUGGGGAGCGUGCUCAUUACAUCCAGGCAGUUACAGUGCAGAUGGAUGCCACACAUGCAGCAGAGACCUGGGGUUAAAAAUAACCAUGUGAGACCAUCUCUGACUGCUGGAGACGAAAGAGGAGGUUAGUUCCACACAAAUUGUUCUUUGUAUGAAGGAGAAUUAAAGAGAAACUCGUCAUCAGUGUCAGAGGACUCGGAUAUCAGUGGGACAGAGGACUGCUUGUGGAGAACAUUCUGGAUCCAGGUGUUUUUAGUAAUCCAAAGAUUUUCUCAAUUCUAUGCAAAUGUAGAGUCUGACUC